rnacentral:rRNA from 1 species
CGCGUAGGCGGACUAUUAAGUCGAGGGUGAAAUCCCGGGCUCAACCCCGGAACUGCCUCCGAUACUGGUAGUCUUGAGUUCGAGAGAGGUGAGUGGAAUUCCGAGUGUAGAGGUGAAAUUCGUAGAUAUUCGGAGGAACACCAGUGGCGAAGGCGGCUCACUGGCUCGAUACUGACGCUGAGGUGCGAAAGUGUGGGGAGCAAACA